rnacentral:misc_RNA from 1 species
AGGCGUGCUGGGCGCUUGCUGGGCUUGUCAGGCUAUGGGAGGCCCAAAAUGAGGUUUACGGGCCAAGUCUGGCACACAACAGGGCUGCUAGGCAUGCGGGCCGCGUUAGAGCAGCAGGCUGGCAGACGAGGCACGAAAUGAUGUUCAUCGCGCCAGAACGAGCGCGUGGGAGUGCUGGGCGCGCGCGUGAACGAGGUUCAAAUCUGCACGGGAAGGUUGGACGCGCGCGCGGGCAAACGAGGUUCAAA